UUUGGUUGCUGCUCUUGGAAUUAUAAUUUUGAGAAGGAGGAAUCGUGUGGGGCAAAGGAGAAAUGUCAGAUUGGCACCUAUUGAGCCCAUCAGAAGGCCAAGAAUGUUUCGUGAAAGACUGGCAAUAAUUUUUCUGAUGCUAAAAUUGUCUCAAUGUUUUGCUUAAAACGUGAGGCAAUUCUGGAGCUAUAUGCUCAUAUAAGUGAAGACAUUGAACCUUUGAUGGGUAGAAGUCAUGCAGUGCCAGGGAUGUGUAAACUUCUCGCAGUAUUGUAUAUGGUUGCUAAUGGCAGCUUCCAGCAUGUGAUAUCCCAAGUAAUGGGAAUCAGCCAGACAACCAUGUCUAGAAUCAUUCCACAAGUAUUUGACGCUAUCCAUAAAUUAACACGCAAUUAUAUUUAUCUAAUAAUGAAGCGUGGCAAGCACUUAUGGUAGGCUUUUAUCAGCUUGGGGGAAUGCCCAAUGUGCUGGGGGCAAUAGAUUGCACACAUGUCAUGAUUGUACCACCCAGGGCAACCGAGGAACAGUUUCGGAAUCGUAAAAAUACACAUUCCUUAAAUGUUCAAGUUGUGUGCGACUCCAAAAUGCAAAUCCUGAGUGUCUGCUCAGGCUUUCCAGGUAGCUGCCACGAUUCCUUCAUAUUACAGCAAUCUGCCCUAAGGGAAAAAUUUGUUUCGGGAAACAUGCCAGAUGGAUGGCUUGUGGGUAAGUACUUCUAUUACAAGUGUGUAAAUAUGUGAAACAGGUACCCUAAAGGGCUUGUUGUGCUUUCAGUUAACUUGGUAUGAUAUACAUAUUGAUAUUCACAGACAAUGUGCAAUUGCCUUUCAUUAGAUUUGUGUUUUUUGGUUCAUGCUUUUUUUUGGUCUUUAGCUUUGCAGCUUAUGUUUUCAGCAUGUUGCUAGGGUCCAAGUUAAUCAACCAUGCAUGCAGUGAUUUGAUCAAGAUACUGGAAUAUCAAUACAUAUAAUAACCCUCAAUAGAAAGCCAUUAUAAAAAAAAAUAAAACAUUAGUAGUCUUACCGAACAUUUGAUUUUUAUUGACCUCACUGAUGCACAUUUCAAAGCUGUAGAGUCAAGAAAAAAAAGCCUAGGUAAAAAAAAAAAAACAGCUGCAAAUUUAGUUCAUAUUGAACAUUCAAUGACAUAAAUAGUUAUAUUAAAGGUCAAGCAGACCUUUAAUGCUUAAUGUACACAUAUGAAACAUUUGUUAAAUUUAGUUUUGGGUGUAAAAAGUAGUUGAUAUUUUAAAUAAACAAGUUAGGAAGUAACAACAUUUGUCUGUCACUUAUCCUUUUCUGUUUGCACUAAAUAGGACAUUUACCUUGUGUGUGUUUUAGGGGAUUCAGGAUAUGGGUGUCAGCCAUGGAUGCUGACCCCUUUGUUAAAUCCAGAAACCCAGGCCGAGAUGCUCUACAACACUGCACACCGCAAAACACGUUGCGUUAUCGAACGGACAUUUGGCAUGCUCAAGUCCAGAUUCCGCUGCCUGGACAAGUCUGGAGGGUGGCUACUAUACAACCCCAAAAAAGUAGCCAACAUGAUUAUAGUGUGUUGCAUCCUGCACAACAUGGCACUGAAACACCGAAUGCCAAUGGAGCUUGCGGAUGAUCUAAUGCCUGAGUUUCCCAACCAAACAGCCAUAGCGGCUGAUUCAACUGAGGCUGGAAGGCGAGUUCGAGCACAACUCAUUGCCACAGUUUUUACUAGAGAGUAAACUUUCAUUUGUUCCAUAAUAAAACAAUUUCAGGUAAGUAUAUUUUUUUUACUAACAAUGAUAUUAGAUUGUAAGUAAAAUAUGUGGCAAUUCAAUUACUUGUAUGGGCUGAAACCAUCCAAAAAAAAAAAUAUCUAUCCAUCUAUAUUUCCGCAUAUACAUACACACUAUUAAGAUAAAAUAUUUUUACUAAUUAACAAGACCUGAUAAUUGAGUUCAUAUGACUAAGCAUCAUGUGGUGGUUUUUACAUUAACCAAAGAAAUCAUCCAAUUAAAAAUAAAAACAUUACAUAUCAAGUAAAAAAAACAAAACAAAACAAAAAAAACAUGGCAUUCAUCAUUACAUUUCUAUGGCGUUUGGCAAACAAAGGUGCAAAAUUUGUGUUUGGUUGCCCCUUUGCAGAAAUACAUACAAAGUUAGUUGUUUCUCCCCCUUGCAGCCUUGCCCCUAACUUGACGGCCACCCCUUUUAGAAGUAUCUGAGCCACCAGGAGUUGUGUUUGAACCAGUGUCAACUUCACCUCCAGUAGUCUCCACAAUUGACUGAUGUUUUUAUCUGAUAAGUAGCUACCGCUUCAUGAGCUGGUUCUGAGUCAACAACAAUUGAUUUCACUCUUUAAUAAGCAUAUUCUGAUGUAGUAUCACAUCUACAUGUAGUAAUUUCAACCGCAAUGAUGUAUCUGCAGUCAUCUGAAAAUGCUCAUUUAACCACAAAGUACUCAUGAAUCAGCUGUAAUGCUCUAAAUUUUGUGGUGGUUUUUUUGGGUUUCAUCGCUACUUGACAACAGAGUUGCAGUCAGCUGUUUAACUGAUUGUUUUUCUUCAUCCUAAGAGUGGAUAUUUUGUUCCUGGUCGUAUGGUUUAGCUACUUCACUUCAAUCGCUUCCAGGGUUGCAGUUUGUUUAGCUGGUUGUGAAGUAAUGGGUUCCAGGCAGAAUGUGACCAUCAUCAUCGACAACUGUGAAAAAAAAAAAUACAAUUGUUAUUACUCAAAAAAGAGAAUAAGGCUUAUAUCCAACAUGCACAGCUUGCUCUUUCUGCACAUUUCUUUUUUAUUAAAGAAAAUGCUGACUCUCUAAUUUAAACUUGAAAUGUCAGUUUGUACCUUUGCCAUUAAAUUUUUUGA